rnacentral:rRNA from 1 species
UGAGGAACAUGACCUUCGGCGGGGGAUAGCCGGCCCAACGGCCGGGUAAUACCGCGUACGACCACUUUGGGACAUCCCUAGGUGGUGAAAGCAGCAAUGCGCCGAAAGAGUGCCUCGCGGCCUAUCAGCUAGUUGGUGGGGUAAUGGCUCACCAAGGCAACGACGGGUAGCUGGUCUGAGAGGGUGACCGGCCACACUGGGACUGAGACACGGCCCAGACUCCUACGGGAGCAG